GACGAACGUUGGCGGCGUGCUUAACACAUGCAAGUCGAACGGAAAGGCCCUGCUUUUGUGGGGUGCUCGAGUGGCGAACGGGUGAGUAACACGUGAGUAACCUGCCCUUGACUUUGGGAUAACUUCAGGAAACUGGGGCUAAUACCGGAUAGGAGCUCCUGCUGCAUGGUGGGGGUUGGAAAGUUUCGGCGGUUGGGGAUGGACUCGCGGCUUAUCAGCUUGUUGGUGGGGUAGUGGCUUACCAAGGCUUUGACGGGUAGCCGGCCUGAGAGGGUGACCGGCCACAUUGGGACUGAGAUACGGCCCAGACUCCUACGGGAGGCAGCAGUGGGGAAUAUUGCACAAUGGGCGGAAGCCUGAUGCAGCAACGCCGCGUGCGGGAUGACGGCCUUCGGGUUGUAAACCGCUUUCGCCUGUGACGAAGCGUGAGUGACGGUAAUGGGUAAAGAAGCACCGGCUAACUACGUGCCAGCAGCCGCGGUGAUACGUAGGGUGCGAGCGUUGUCCGGAUUUAUUGGGCGUAAAGGGCUCGUAGGUGGUUGAUCGCGUCGGAAGUGUAAUCUUGGGGCUUAACCCUGAGCGUGCUUACGAUACGGGUUGACUUGAGGAAGGUAGGGGAGAAUGGAAUUCCUGGUGGAGCGGUGGAAUGCGCAGAUAUCAGGAGGAACACCAGUGGCGAAGGCGGUUCUCUGGGCCUUUCCUGACGCUGAGGAGCGAAAGCGUGGGGGGCGAACAGGCUUAGAUACCCUGGUAGUCCACGCUGUAAACGGUGGGUACUAGGUGUGGGGUCCAUUCCACGGGUUCCGUGCCGUGGCUAACGCUUUAAGUACCCCGCCUGGGGAGUACGGCCGCAAGGCUAAAACUCAAAGGAAUUGACGGGGCCCCGCACAAGCGGCGGAGCAUGCGGAUUAAUUCGAUGCAACGCGUAGAACCUUACCUGGGUUUGACAUGGAUCGGGAGUGCUCAGAGAUGGGUGUGCCUCUUUUGGGGUCGGUCCACAGGUGGUGCAUGGCUGCCGUCAGCUCGUGUCGUGAGAUGUUGGGUUAAGUCCCGCAACGAGCGCAACCCUUGUUCACUGUUGCCAGCACGUUAUGGUGGGGACUCAGUGGAGACCGCCGGGGUCAACUCGGAGGAAGGUGGGGAUGACGUCAAGUCAUCAUGCCCCUUAUGUCCAGGGCUUCACGCAUGCUACAAUGGCUGGUACAGAGAGUGGCGAGCCUGUGAGGGUGAGCGAAUCUCGGAAAGCCGGUCUCAGUUCGGAUUGGGGUCUGCAACUCGACCUCAUGAAGUCGGAGUCGCUAGUAAUCGCAGAUCAGCAACGCUGCGGUGAAUACGUUCCCGGG
rnacentral:rRNA from 1 species